GUGUGUGUGUGUGUGGCCAAUCAACAUCUGCUGAAUCUACAGGAAAUGGCUCUGUCUGUGUUCCAUGAGAGCAGAGUCUGCAGUGAUGCCUGAGAAAUGACAAGAAGACAGAUCCAACAAGCCCCUCCUGUUGUGGCUUGAAUACAGAGAAGCAACCAACAGGAUGGAGUCACUCUGCACCGAACGUGUGUGGAGGGGAAUCACCUGCCUCACAGCCCUGAUGGAGACCAUUUCUACACCAACACAUACAUUUAGACGGGAUAUGACUUCGCCAUCCUCUGAAGUAGGUUUUCAGCAGGCUCUGUACCUGCAGCAGCUGACGGACUGUGAGCAGAUCUCAGUGGCUCCGGAUUCCUUUGGAUGUUGAACUUCUCUCUGACCGAGGAGCUGGAUUUAUCAUUGAAGUUGCAAACGUCACGCUCUUUAAGUCAGUGUUAAAGGCAGCGUUUCAUCCUGAUUUGUUUAGGUGUUUCCUAUUGAUUCCUCUAGGUUGAUAACCUGAUUGGCACACAACUGUGCUGACUGCUGGGCUGAGUCUAUGUAGACCCUUCUCUCUCUCUAUCCUUCUGCAGCAGCACCUGGUUGGCGCUUGGUAUUCGGUUUUCAGUUCAUUUAUUAUAUUAUU